GUUAAAACACUUCUUCCCGUACGGUCACCGAAGUUAAGCAACUUUGAACCUGGUUAAUACUUAAACGGGUGAGCGCUUGGGAAUACUAGGUGUUGUAAG